rnacentral:lncRNA from 1 species
UUUUAACGACCAGCGAGCCGCAACAGAGUAAAUUAGGUUGAAAAAAGCUACGAAAAAUGUUUUCGAAGGUACGUUCGAUCAAUUCGACUCCCUCGUGUUUCUCCGUGGUAAUCUCAUUGAUUUCCAUUUUCUCGUUUGGUUUGUGAUCAAUCAAUUAUAAGGUUUUAUAUGAAUCUGUAAUUACAGAUUAGGGUUUAUCGCACGCGUAGGACUAAGUUUGUUUUUCAUGUAUUUAUAAAACUGAUCAUGUGAUUGUUUCUUUUGAUCGUUUCAGAAUUGGUAUGGUUUUCUUUUCGUUUCGAUUCUUGGUUUGAGUUUUUCUAUAAAUAGUUAUCGUUUUGUUGACAUUGAUGUAACACUAAUUUUUAACGUUAUUGGUUAUAAAUGUUACAAUGCAUAUGUGAUUUAUGUUGAUAAUACUGUUCUGUUUAUUUAAGGAGGUUGUAUGUUUGUAUUUCUUUUUCUUUCUUUUUUAACAUUGAACUAGGGAUUGUUCAGAUUUGAUAAUUGUGGCAGAGGAAGAAAAUGAAAUUGAGAUGAAGGAAGAGGUGAAGGAUGAAGCUGCAGAUGUAAGCAUACAUUGAUGUUUCCUUCUUCUUUCUUUUGUUUAGGUCUGUGUUCGAUUGUAUUGUGAAGAAUUACCGACUUAUAUUGCCUUCAUGUCUAUUUCUGGUUGAUGUGUUUUGAUGUUGCUUUGUUAAAGAAAUAAUGCAUUUGUGAUUCAUAAAUAUUGGUUUUGAUUCUUAUGGCCGGAAGACAUGAUUUGAAGUCUGUGCUACUUCAUUACAUGUCAUAAU